CUUGGAAAGACUUCCAGCUUCAUCACGGAGUUUCUCUCGGUUUGUGGGCUCAUCUAAAGCUGAGUAACAGGAGGAGAAGAGUCUGGUGGUGUAGCAGAGGAACAAUUUCAGCUAUUUGGACUCAGCUCAGCCACUACAGAGGAAACAAUGACUUCAACACAAAAGGACCAACAUGGAGCGAGAAGUCAGCGCUCUCAGGAGGCCGACAAACCUCACAGAAGAAAGC